GAUGAAGAACGCAGCGAAAUGCGAUAAGUAAUGUGAAUUGCAGAAUUCAGUGAAUCAUCGAAUCUUUGAACGCACAUUGCGCCCGUCAGUAUUCUGGCGGGCAUGCCUGUUCGAGCGUCAUUACGCCCCUCAAGUCCCCUGUGGACUUGGUGUUGGGGAUCGGCGAGGCUGGUUUUCCAGCACAGCCGUCCCUUAAAUUAAUUGGCGGUCUCGCCGUGGCCCUCCUCUGCGCAGUAGUAAAACACUCGCAACAGGAGCCCGGCGCGGUCCACUGCCGUAAAACCCCCCAACUUUUUAUAGUUGACCUCGAAUCAGGUAGGUCUACCCGCUGAACUUAAGCAUAUCAAUAAGCGGAGGA
rnacentral:misc_RNA from 1 species